rnacentral:rRNA from 1 species
CCCUUAGAUGUUCUGGGCUGCACGCGUGCUACACUGAUUAUUUCAACAAGUGUUUUAACUGGAGAGUUUGCGUAAUCCUGAAAUGUUAUCGUGAUGGGAGUAGAGUAUUGUAUUUGUUAAUCUUUAACGAGGAAUUCCUAGUAAGUGUAGGUUUAUAAGUUGUUCUGAUUACGUCCCUGCCCUUUGUACACACCGCCCGUCGCUACUACCGAUUGAACGGUUUAGUGAGGGCCUCGGAUUGGUCUCGGCCCGCUCUUUACCGGGCGGCGCCGUUGGUCGAGAAGACGCUCGAACUUGAUCGUUUAGAGGAAGUAAAAGUCGUAACA